GUCUAGCGGCGGACGGGUGAGUAACGCGUGGGAACGUACCCUUUUCUGCAGGAUAGCCACUGGAAACGGUGAGUAAUACUGCAUACGCCCUUCGGGGGAAAGAUUUAUCGGAGAAGGAUCGGCCCGCGUUAGAUUAGGUAGUUGGUGGGGUAAUGGCCUACCAAGCCUACGAUCUAUAGCUGGUUUGAGAGGAUGAUCAGCCACACUGGGACUGAGACACGGCCCAGACUCCUACGGGAGGCAGCAGUGGGGAAUCUUAGACAAUGGGGGCAACCCUGAUCUAGCCAUGCCGCGUGAGUGAUGAAGGCCUUAGGGUCGUAAAGCUCUUUCGCUGGGGAAGAUAAUGACGGUACCCAGUAAAGAAACCCCGGCUAACUCCGUGCCAGCAGCCGCGGUAAUACGGAGGGGGUUAGCGUUGUUCGGAAUUACUGGGCGUAAAGCGCGCGUAGGCGGAUCAGAAAGUUGGGGGUGAAAUCCCGGGGCUCAACCUCGGAACUGCCUCCAAAACUCCUGGUCUUGAGUUCGAGAGAGGUGAGUGGAACUCCGAGUGUAGAGGUGAAAUUCGUAGAUAUUCGGAAGAACACCAGUGGCGAAGGCGGC
rnacentral:rRNA from 1 species